rfam:Tauraco erythrolophus contig86212, whole genome shotgun sequence.
UAACUGGUCCUUUUGAGGACCAUAUGCAUUGUUAGAAAGACACAAU